GCGCCGGUGGUGUAGGGGUUUAGCAUGUGACCACACAUAGAGGCUAUAGUUCUCAAAACGGCUGUCCCGGGUUCGAGUCCUGGACCUGGCGACCU